UUGAAUAUAACGCCGAAUUUCUAUUUGAAAGCGGGGGAACCAUUAUUUAUGGGGUGAAGUUCAUUUAUCGUCUCUUUUGUAGACCGAAGGUGAACCGGGCAACCUGUGCAUGCCCGAAUCCGUCAGCUAACCUCGUAGGCGUUAUGCAAGCAGGA
rnacentral:sRNA from 2 species